CGGCCAGACUCCUACGGGAGGCAGCAGUGGGGAAUAUUGGACAAUGGGGGGAACCCUGAUCCAGCGACGCCGCGUGAGUGAAGAAGUAUUUCGGUAUGUAAAGCUCUAUCAGCAGGGAAGAAAGAAAUGACGGUACCUGACUAAGAAGCCCCGGCUAACUACGUGCCAGCAGCCGCGGUAAUACGUAGGGGCAAGCGUUAUCCGGAUUUACUGGGUGUAAAGGGAGCGUAGACGGCGAUGCAAGUCUGAAGUGAAAGGCGGGGGCCCAACCCCCGGACUGCUUUGGAAACUGUAUAGCUGGAGUGCAGGAGAGGUAAGUGGAAUUCCUAGUGUAGCGGUGAAAUGCGUAGAUAUUAGGAGGAACACCAGUUGCGAAGGCGGCUCUCUGGACUGUAACUGACACUGAGGCACGAAAGCGUGGGGAGCAAACAGGAUUAGAUACCCCCGUACC
rnacentral:rRNA from 1 species